GUGCUUGCUUCGGCAGCAUAUAUACUAAAAUUGGAAUGAUACGGAGAAGAUUAGCAUGGCCCCUGCUCAAGGAUGACAUGCAAAUUUGUAAAGCAUUUCAUAUAUAU